CAAGAAAUGGCUUCUCAAAAGCAAUUAAAAAUAUGAAAUGAAUGUAGAAUGUUUGGAAGCUUGUAUAUGAUGUUUGCUCAGAUUGUUGUGUGUCAAAUGAGAGUUUUUGGGGUGUAUUUAUAGCCCCAAAAACUCUUGUAUCCGUUGCUAAAUGAUUAAAUAAUUUAUCAAAAAUCUGCAACGAUAAUCGAUUAUCGCAGGACGAUAAUCGAUUAACCUUUCAAAAAUAUAGACGUUGAAAGGCAACGGAUACUAAGAUAAUCAAUUAACUUAUGUCAGAUAAUCGAUUAUUUUAACGAUAAUCGAUUAUCGCACUUAGAUAAUUGAUUUGAAAAACUAGACGUUGAGAAAUAACGGAUAAACGAUAAUCGUUUAUCGUUGGUAAGAUAAUCGAUUAUCUCACCUUGCGUAAAAACGUCCAGUUUAAUGAAAUAUUAGAUAAUCGAUUAUCUCCUCACGAUAAUCGAUUAACUCAGUAGAAAAAUGAUUUCAAGACGUUUUUCAUUGUUUAUUUAAAUACCAAAAAUAUAAUAUAUGUCUUAAAUAUUAAAGACACUUUUAAAAACCUUUUUGNNNN
rnacentral:lncRNA from 1 species